rnacentral:rRNA from 1 species
GACGAACGCUGGCGGCGUGCCUAAUACAUGCAAGUAGAACGCUGAAGAGAGGAGCUUGCUCUUCUUGGAUGAGUUGCGAACGGGUGAGUAACGCGUAGGUAACCUGCCUUGUAGCGGGGGAUAACUAUUGGAAACGAUAGCUAAUACCGCAUAACAAUGGAUGACACAUGUCAUUUAUUUGAAAGGGGCAAUUGCUCCACUACAAGAUGGACCUGCGUUGUAUUAGCUAGUAGGUGAGGUAACGGCUCACCUAGGCGACGAUACAUAGCCGACCUGAGAGGGUGAUCGGCCACACUGGGACUGAGACACGGCCCAGACUCCUACGGGAGGCAGCAGUAGGGAAUCUUCGGCAAUGGGGGCAACCCUGACCGAGCAACGCCGCGUGAGUGAAGAAGGUUUUCGGAUCGUAAAGCUCUGUUGUAAGUCAAGAACGAGUGUGAGAGUGGAAAGUUCACACUGUGACGGUAGCUUACCAGAAAGGGACGGCUAACUACGUGCCAGCAGCCGCGGUAAUACGUAGGUCCCGAGCGUUGUCCGGAUUUAUUGGGCGUAAAGCGAGCGCAGGCGGUUUGAUAAGUCUGAAGUUAAAGGCUGUGGCUCAACCAUAGUUCGCUUUGGAAACUGUCAAACUUGAGUGCAGAAGGGGAGAGUGGAAUUCCAUGUGUAGCGGUGAAAUGCGUAGAUAUAUGGAGGAACACCGGUGGCGAAAGCGGCUCUCUGGUCUGUAACUGACGCUGAGGCUCGAAAGCGUGGGGAGCGAACAGGAUUAGAUACCCUGGUAGUCCACGCCGUAAACGAUGAGUGCUAGGUGUUGGAUCCUUUCCGGGAUUCAGUGCCGCAGCUAACGCAUUAAGCACUCCGCCUGGGGAGUACGACCGCAAGGUUGAAACUCAAAGGAAUUGACGGGGGCCCGCACAAGCGGUGGAGCAUGUGGUUUAAUUCGAAGCAACGCGAAGAACCUUACCAGGUCUUGACAUCCCGAUGCUAUUUCUAGAGAUAGAAAGUUACUUCGGUACAUCGGUGACAGGUGGUGCAUGGUUGUCGUCAGCUCGUGUCGUGAGAUGUUGGGUUAAGUCCCGCAACGAGCGCAACCCCUAUUGUUAGUUGCCAUCAUUCAGUUGGGCACUCUAGCGAGACUGCCGGUAAUAAACCGGAGGAAGGUGGGGAUGACGCCAAAUCAUCAUGCCCCUUAUGACCUGGGCUACACACGUGCUACAAUGGUUGGUACAACGAGUUGCGAGUCGGUGACGGCAAGCUAACCUCUUAAAGCCAAUCUCAGUUCGGAUUGUAGGCUGCAACUCGCCUACAUGAAGUCGGAAUCGCUAGUAAUCGCGGAUCAGCACGCCGCGGUGAAUACGUUCCCGGGCCU